UGCAGCUAACGCAUUAAGCACUCCGCCUGGGGAGUACGACCGCAAGGUUGAAACUCAAAGGAAUUGACGGGGGCCCGCACAAGCGGUGGAGCAUGUGGUUUAAUUCGAAGCAACGCGAAGAACCUUACCAGGUCUUGACAUCCUUUGACCACUCUAGAGAUAGAGCUUCCCCUUCGGGGGCAAAGUGACAGGUGGUGCAUGGUUGUCGUCAGCUCGUGUCGUGAGAUGUUGGGUUAAGUCCCGCAACGAGCGCAACCCUUAUUGUUAGUUGCCAUCAUUCAGUUGGGCACUCUAGCAAGACUGCCGGUGACAAACCGGAGGAAGGUGGGGAUGACGUCAAAUCAUCAUGCCCCUUAUGACCUGGGCUACACACGUGCUACAAUGGGAAGUACAACGAGUUGCGAAGUCGCGAGGCUAAGCUAAUCUCUUAAAGCUUCUCUCAGUUCGGAUUGCAGGCUGCAACUCGCCUGCAUGAAGCCGGAAUCGCUAGUAAUCGCGGAUCAGCACGCCGCGGUGAAUACGUUCCCGGGCCUUGUACACACCGCCCGUCACACCACGAGAGUUUGUAACACCCGAAGUCGGUGAGGUAACCUUUUGGAGCCAGCCGCCUAAGGUGGGAUAGAUGAUUGGGGUGAAGUCGUAACAAGGUAGCCGUAUCGGAAGGUGCGGCUGGAUCACCUCCUUU
rnacentral:rRNA from 1 species